rnacentral:rRNA from 1 species
GAGCCCGCACAAGCAGUGGAGUAUGUGGUUUAAUUCGACGCAACGCGAAGAACCUUACCAGGGCUUGACAUCCACGGAAGGCCGAGUAAAUUUGGCCGUGCCCCUUCGGGGGAGCCGUGAGACAGGUGGUGCAUGGUUGUCGUCAGCUCGUGUCGUGAGAUGUUGGGUUAAGUCCCGCAACGAGCGCAACCCUUACGGUUAGUUGCUACGAAAGAGCACUCUAACAGGACUGCCGUUGACAAAACGGAGGAAGGUGGGGAUGACGUCAAAUCAUCAUGCCCUUUACGCUCUGGGCUACACACGUACUACAAUGGCGUAAACAAAGGGGAGCAAGGCGGCGACGCGGAGCAAAUCCUAAAAAGACGCCCCAGUUCAGAUUGCAGGCUGCAACCCGCCUGCAUGAAGUCGGAAUUGCUAGUAAUCGUAAAUCAGCAUGUUACGGUGAAUACGUUCCCGGGCUUU